GACGAACGCUGGCGGCGUGCUUAACACAUGCAAGUCGAACGGAAAGGCCCCUUUGGGGGUACUCGAGUGGCGCACGGGUGAGUAACACGUGAGUAACCUGCCCUUGACUUCGGGAUAACUUCAGGAAACUGGGGCUAAUACCGGAUAGGAAUCCUUGCUGCAUGGUGGGGGUUGGAAAGCUUCGGCGGUUUUGGAUGGACUCGCGGCUUAUCAGCUUGUUGGUGGGGUAGUGGCUUACCAAGGCUUUGACGGGUAGCCGGCCUGAGAGGGCGACCGGCCACAUUGGGACUGAGAUACGGCCCAGACGCCUACGGGAGGAAGCAGUGGGGAAUAUUGCACAAUGGGCGGAAGCCGGAUGCAGCAACGCCGCGUGCGGGAUGACGGCCUUCGGGUUGUAAAACGCUUUCAGCAGGGGCGAAGCUUGUGGUGACGGUACCUGCAGAAGAAGCACCGGCUAACUACGUG
rnacentral:rRNA from 1 species